rnacentral:rRNA from 1 species
GGUCAAGCUAGAAAGAGCGCAAGGGGAAUGCCUUGGCAUCAGGAGCCGACGAAGGACGUGACAAGCUGCGAUAAGCUACGGGGAGCGGCACAUACGCAUUGAUCCGUAGAUUUCCGAAUGGGGCAACCCGGCAGAGCAAUACUCUGUCAGCGUGCGUUGAAUCAAAUAGGCGUACGUGGGGAACCGCCUGAACUGAAACAUCUAAGUAGGGCGAGGAAGAGAAAUCAACCGAGAUUCCGCAAGUAGUGGCGAGCGAACGCGGAAGAGGCCAAACCAGAGGAUUUAUUCUCUGGGGUUGUGGACUCACAUAACGGUGCAAUAGUUUAGCCGAAUGGUAUGGGAAGGCCAGCCACAGCGGGUGAGAGCCCCGUAGGCGAAAAGCGAAUUGCAUCAGUGAGGAUCCAGAGUACCGCCGGACACGUGAAACCCGGUGGGAAACAGGGGGGACCACCCUCCAAGCCUAAAUACUACCUGAUGACCGAUAGAGGAGCAGUACCGUGAGGGAAAGGUGAAAAGGACCCCGGGAGGGGAGUGAAAUAGAACCUGAAACCUUGUGCUUACAAGCACUCAAAGCCCGUUAAUGGGUGAUGAGGUACCUUUUGUAGAAUGGUCCGGCGAGUUAUUGUAACAAGCAAGCUUAAGGUAUUCAGUACCGGAGGCGCAGGGAAACCGAGGGUUAAUAGCCCGUAUAAAGUUUGUUGCAAUAGACCCGAAACCGGGUGACCUAUCCAUGAGCAGGUUGAAGUGGGGGUAAAACCCCAUGGAGGACCGAACGCACGUUCGUUGCAAUGACCGGCGAUGACUUGUGGAUAGCGGUGAAAUUCCAAUCGAACCCGGAGAUAGCUGGUUCUCCCCGAAAUAGCUUUAGGGCUAGCGUUAGUUUAGAUUACCGGAGGUAAAGCACUGAAUGGGCUAGGGGCCGAUAAGGUUACUGAACCCUAUCAAACUCUGAAUGCCGGCUAAUUGAUGACUAGCAGUCAGACUACGUGAGAUAAGUUUCGUGGUCAAAAGGGAAACAGCCCAGACCCACAGCUAAGGUCCCAAAUGUAUGCUAAGUGGAAAACGAUGUGGAGUUGCGAAAACAACCAGGAUGUUGGCUUAGAAGCAGCCACUCAUUAAAAGAGUGCGUAAUAGCUCACUGGUCGAGUGACUCUGCGCGGAAAAUAUAACGGGGCUAAGCAUGCAACCGAAGCUUGGGCUUGUCGCAAGACAGGGGUAGGGGAGCGUCGAAUAUGGGGUGAAGUCGCAGCGGGAGCAGCGGUGGACUGUAUUCGAGUGAGAAUGCCGGAAUGAGUAGCGAGAAUUAUGUGGGAAUCAUAAUGGCCGAAAAUCUAAGGUUUCUUGGGGAAGGUUCGUCCGCCCAAGGUAAGCCGGGAGCUAAGGCGAGGCCGCAAGGCGUAGUCGAUGCACAUACGGUAGAAAUUCCGUAGCCGCCGAACUUUAAGCAUGCUGACACUUUGGAAUAGGGGAACCCGGGCGUUGGUUGACCCGGGCGUAAGGGACCGAAAAAUAGUAGGGAAGUCCUUGAUGUCCAGAGGCGAGAAAAGGCAUGUGGUAUACUAAGGCGCCCGUACCGCAAACCGACACAGGUAGAUGAGGAGAGAAUCCUAAGGCCAACGGGAGAAGGGUUGUUAAGGAACUCGGCAAAAUGACCCCGUAACUUCGGGAUAAGGGGAGCCUGCGCGAGCAGGCCGCAGAGAAUAGGCCCAAGCGACUGUUUACCAAAAACACAGGUCUAUGCUAAAUCGAAAGAUGACGUAUAUGGGCUGACGCCUGCCCGGUGCUGGAAGGUUAAGAGGAGAGCUUAGUCGCAAGGCGAAGGUUUGAAUUGAAGCCCCAGUAAACGGCGGCCGUAACUAUAACGGUCCUAAGGUAGCGAAAUUCCUUGUCAGGUAAGUUCUGACCCGCACGAAUGGCGUAACGAUUUGGGCACUGUCUCAACAGCCCACCCGGCGAAAUUGUUGUACUGGUGAAGAAGCCAGUUACCCGCAACUAGACGGAAAGACCCCAUGGAGCUUUACUGUAGCUUAAUACUGGAAAUCGGUAAAUCAUGUACAGGAUAGGUGGGAGACUUGGAAGCCUGGGCGUCAGCUUAGGUGGAGUCAACCUUGGGAUACCACCCUUGAUUUGCUGGUUUUCUAACCUGCGGCCGUGAAUCCGGUCGGGGGACACUGUUAGGUGGGCAGUUUGACUGGGGCGGUCGCCUCCAAAAAGGUAACGGAGGCGCUCAAAGGUUCGUUCAGCACGGACGGAAACCGUGCAGUGAGUGUAAACGCAUAAACGAGCCUAACUGCGAGACCGACGGGUCGAGCAGUAACGAAAGUUGGAGUUAGUGAUCCGGCGGUAUGUGCGUGGAAAUGCCGUCGCUCAACGGAUAAAAGCUACCCUGGGGAUAACAGGCUGAUCUCCCCCAAGCGUCCACAGCGACGGGGAGGUUUGGCACCUCGAUGUCGGCUCGUCGCAUCCUGGGGCUGUAUUCGGUCCCAAGGGUUUGGCUGUUCGCCAAUUAAAGCGGCACGCGAGCUGGGUUCAGAACGUCGUGAGACAGUUCGGUCCCUAUCUGUUGCGGGCGUAAGAGAUUUGAAGGGAGCUGUCCUUAGUACGAGAGGACCGGGAUGGACGAACCUCUGGUGCACCAGUUGUCCUGCCAAGGGCAUAGCUGGGUAGCUACGUUCGGACGAGAUAAACGCUGAAGGCAUCUAAGCGUGAAACUCCCCCUAAGAUUAGAUCUCUCAUCCAUUAGGAGUAAGGCGCGUCGUAGACUAUGACGUUGAUAGGCCGGAGGUGGAAGCACGGCAACGUGUGCAGCUGACCGGUACUAAUCCGCCGAGGGCUUGACCUUAACAUGAUUG